UACGAAGGGUGCAAACGUUGCUCGGAAUUAUUGGGCGUAAAGGGCGCGUAGGCGGCCUGAUAAGUAGGGGGUGAAAUCCUGCGGCUUAACCGCAGGGCUGCCUUCUAAACUGUCGGGCUCGAGCACAGUAGAGGCAGGUGGAAUUCCCGGUGUAGCGGUGGAAUGCGUAGAGAUCGGGAAGAACAUCAGUGGCGAAGGCGGCCUGCUGGGCUGUUGCUGACGCUGAGGCGCGACAGCGUGGGGAGCAAACAGG
rnacentral:rRNA from 1 species